rnacentral:rRNA from 1 species
GACGGAAGGUGCAAGCGUUGCUCGGAAUCACUGGGCGUAAAGGGUGCGUAGGCGGCCGUGCAAGUCUGGCGUGAAAGCCCCGGGCUCAGCCCGGGAAGUGCGCUCGAAACUGCGCGGCUCGAGUGCCGGAGGGGAGAGUGGAAUUCCUGGUGUAGCGGUGAAAUGCGCAGAUAUCAGGAGGAACACCAGCGGCGAAGGCGGCGCUCUGGGCCGGUACUGACGCUGAGGAGCGAAAGCGUGGGGAGCAAACAGG